rnacentral:rRNA from 1 species
AGAGUUUGAUCAUGGCUCAGGAUGAACGCUAGCUACAGGCUUAACACAUGCAAGUCGAGGGGCAGCAUGGACCCAGCUUUGCUGGGUUUGAUGGCGACCGGCGCACUGGUGAGUAACGCGUAUCCAACCUGCCCUUUACUCCGGGAUAGUCUCCUGAAAGGGAGUUUAAUACCGGAUGUGUUUGUCUUUCCGCAUGGGAGCGACAAAUAAAGAUUGAUUGGUAAAGGAUGGCGAUGCGUCCC